CUCACUUCCUCCUCAAUCACACACCUGACUGCCUCUGCAGGGACCCAAGCCCCAGAACAAAGGGGGAUUUGUUGAUGUGACCGGACUGCAGUGAACCAGACAUAUUACUUCCUAGCUGAACACUCAGUCUCCUCUGCUCCUGCACAGCCGAGUUCCUGGGCUUCAGGUGAAUAGCAAUGGAAUAAUCUUAACUCUUGGCUUAUGAUGCUUCCUCACUGGUGCAUAUAGACCGCCGCUCUCAAGACAGCUCAUCAGUGACUUGUAAGCCAGACAACAUGCAUGAGAAGACCCACACAGACCUGUGGCAUGGAACUGACAUGGCCUAUCAAUAUCUAAGGAUGAUCAGAAGCCUUUUGCAGCAACCAGCCACAACUGAGAAGUGUAAAAGCAAUCCAGUCACCAUCCUUGGGUUUACCCCAUUGCUGAAGCGCUCCUGCUCCUUCUCUCUGCAGCCUACUUCCUUGACAAGUGGGUUUGAGCUUUGACUCAUCAGAAUAAUGUCAACCAUCCUAAAAACCAAAUCAUACUCCAAUUAAUUACAGAACUACUAACUUCUAAUACCUAAGCAUAAGACUAAA